GGUAUGGGAUGAGCUUGCGUCCGAUUAGCUAGUUGGCGGGGCAACGGCCCACCAAGGCGACGAUCGGUAGCCGGCCUGAGAGGGUGAUCGGCCACAUUGGGACUGAGAUACGGCCCAGACUCCUACGGGAGGCAGCAGUAGGGAGUAUUGCACAAUGGGGGAAACCCUGAUGCAGCAACGCCACGUGUGGGAAGAAGCAUUUCGGUGUGUAAACCACUGUCAUGAGGGAAUAAGGCCCGCCUUCGGACGGGAUUGAAUGUACCUUGAGAGGAAGCACCGGCAAACUUCGUGCCAGCAGCCGCGGUAAUACGAGGGGUGCAAGCGUUGUUCGGAAUUACUGGGCGUAAAGGGAGCGUAGGCGGAGAUUCAAGCGGAUUGUACAAUCCCGGGGCCCAACCCCGGCUCUGCAGUCCGAACUGGAUCUCUUGGAUAGUUCAGGGGCAGGC
rnacentral:rRNA from 1 species